UGAGGAAUAUUGGUCAAUGGGCGAGAGCCUGAACCAGCCAAGUAGCGUGCAGGAUGACGGCCCUAUGGGUUGUAAACUGCUUUUAUGUGGGGAUAAAGUGCGUGACGUGUCAUGCAUUGCAGGUACCACAUGAAUAAGGACCGGCUAAUUCCGUGCCAGCAGCCGCGGUAAUACGGAAGGUCCGGGCGUUAUCCGGAUUUAUUGGGUUUAAAGGGAGCGUAGGCUGUCUAUUAAGCGUGUUGUGAAAUUUACCGGCUCAACCGGUGGCUUGCAGCGCGAACUGGUCGACUUGUGUAUGCAGGAAGUAGGCAGAAUUCAUGGUGUAACGGUGAAAUGCUUAGAUAUCAUGACGAACUCCGAUUGCGCAGGCAGCUUACUGUAGCAUAACUGACGCUGAUGCUCGAAAGUGCGGGUAUCAAACAGG
rnacentral:rRNA from 1 species